ACCGGAAAGGGGUAGACCUCCCACCCUUGUGUAUUAUUACUUUGUUGCUUUGGCGAGCUGCCUUCGGGCCUUGUAUGCUCGCCAGAGAAUACCAAAACUCUUUUUAUUAAUGUCGUCUGAGUACUAUAUAAUAGUUAAAACUUUCAACAACGGAUCUCUUGGUUCUGGCAUCGAUGAAGAACGCAGCGAAAUGCGAUAAGUAAUGUGAAUUGCAGAAUUCAGUGAAUCAUCGAAUCUUUGAACGCACAUUGCGCCCCUUGGUAUUCCGGGGGGCAUGCCUGUUCGAGCGUCAUUUCAACCCUCAAGCUUAGCUUGGUAUUGAGUCUAUGUCAGUAAUGGCAGGCUCUAAAAUCAGUGGCGGCGCCGCUGGGUCCUGAACGUAGUAAUAUCUCUCGUUACAGGUUCUCGGUGUGCUUCUGCCAAAACCCAAAUUUUUCUAUGGUUGACCUCGGAUCAGGUAGGGAUACCCGCUGAACUUAAGCAUAUCAUAAGAGGAGGAAAA
rnacentral:rRNA from 1 species